rnacentral:lncRNA from 1 species
UUCUUGAAAAAUAUAGUGCAACUAUGAAAACUUUGCAGCUAUUUAAGUAUUUAUUUGUAUAUUUACUGCUACACUAUAAGAUGUCUUAAUCGUCUAGUUGGUCAUCUAGAUUGUGUUGUUGAAGUACAAAAAAAAUUAUCCGCCUUUUUACAAUUCAAUAACCUUUUAGGUUGAGUCAGUCGGUGCAUGCAAGCUCAAUAUUGUGUAGAAGAAGAAAUGAAGUAGAGACCAUAGAAAAAGGUUAAUGCAUAUAUGGGAGACAUCAAUACAUAACAAUACAUUUUUUCUCUCACCAUCAGACUAACUGACAAAGUGAUAAUAAAUAACACAUGCAACUUAAAGAAGAUGCAGAUACUACCAAAUUAAAAAUUUUGGAUAAACAUUGGCUUCCAGGAAAGAAAAGGGGAAAAACUCUAUAUUAACCCAUAACUAGGUGAGUGCACGUGCGGCACACACUAAAAGUAAACAAGAAUUUUAUAUUCAUAAAACAUAGAUACAUGCACCAUGGACAUAUUCAAUAACAAAAAACAUACCCAUAUAAAAAUAGAAAAUAUACGGAAUUUAACAUUACUCGUAUACAAUGCUAAGUGUUGGACCCCAAUCACCUAGUUGGAUACCAGCAAGCUGCAAAAUUUGUGUCAUUCGUAGUGGUACUGCAGUGAGUUUUAUUCGUUAGGAAAGAACAACCAAAUCAGAGAAAAAAACUUAUUCGCAUGUUCUUGUCAAGAAUGCUAAUGCUAGGGUUUCUAUCAUGUUUGAGAUUAAUUGGAACAUGUGAUAUUGUUAUGUCAAUAAAUAAUCAAUCAGGUGACAAUAGAAGGAAAAUUCAGAAGACAGUACCCAAACCUUUAAUUGCAGGUGGAGAUGGAGCACAAAAUAAUCUCUUUUGAUCAAUCACAAGUAUUAGCAAUGAUAGAGGAGGGGAUCGGCUUACACCCAAACCUCAGCACAGAAGCCUUUCCACCCGUGCCCAUGUUGUGCAAAUCAUAUUUGCAUCCUGUGAAGUUGUAGGCAGGUAUGCCUCAAUGUGCAGGGCCUGGCUGGCGAUGGCGCCAACCAGGGAGUGGAGGCGAGGCCACUACCCGGUGACGAGUGGCGGUCAGGGAGCGGGGACCAGGAACGAUGAAUGUGACCGCGGCCCAGCGAGAC